GUGGAUAUCUGAGUUAUGAACGCGUGAGACAGCAUCAGCCCUGUCUGGAGCUCUGGAGGUUUGCAUACUUAAGUGAGACUGGUCCUUGGAGAAGAUGGAGCAGGUUCCGAAGGUCCGGGGCUACUGGCGGUUCGAGCGGUUCAGCUCAGAAGACGACUGAAGUCAGCCGAAGGAUGAGCCAGGAGUUGCAGCACUCGGGCCCGAAGCAAAGCCAGCGCCUGUGGAUCCUGUGGAUGCUCGUUUGGGUACUUCUUUGGUCUCACUCAAAAACUCUGGCACAGAGGAUGACCUGGGCCUGUUGGAUUGCGUUCGGAGGUGACUUUGAAAUCACGCAGAAAACUCAGAAAAACGAGGCUCGAAGAGCAGAGAAAACUUUCAAAAAUGGCUUUGCGAAAUUAAAGAAAAUCAAUCAAAGGCUUAAUCUUGAAUUGCUAUGCGCACAAAAAGUUGAAGUUUCAAAACUUGAACUAAGACGAUGUUAAAGAAAAAUCAACGUGAAUCAACACGUGGCGUAAAACUUAGAAGACUAAGAAAAAGUUCUAAGAGAAAACAAAGAAACGCACCACAGAAGGGUGUGGACAGAAGAGAAGGGGCAUAAGAGCCGGGGACAAGAGAGUCAGCAGAAGAGCAGAAGCAUAAGAGAGAUAAGAGAGUGAGCAACCCCACUCCACUGGUUUUAUCUUCUCACACUGGGAGUGUCUGAGGAGAAAGAGGAGGGGUCAUCGGGUCUCUGAUUAUUUGAUCUAACUUAUUCUUUUGGCUGGUAAAAGAGUCAGAUCUGAUACUCACUCACUAUGAUUAAUAUCAUUGAAUGCUUGGUUUCAUGAUAAAUAAUUUGAUACUAAACACAUAUGAAUGAAGUGUAGGAUCACAUCAAACAUUCUCAUUAUGUUUUAAGUAUCACAUUGAACAUGCUAAAUUACUCUGAAAUGAAACAGAUAGUAACACAUAGAAACUGUGAACAACAAAAGAGUAAACACAUGUGAAUGAACGUCAUCAUGAUUAAUAAUGGAUUCUAAAUAUUCACAUUCAGAUUAUUCAGUGACAUUAUAACCACCUAAUGGUUAAGAUACUAAAUAAAUAACUAAAAUAUAAACCAAACAUUUCUAAACUAUUUCUGUUACUUAGAGUAAACUUAGGAUUCAUAGUCAAUAAAUUUAACUCUUAAAAGUUCAUGAAACAGUCUGAAAAGCUGUUGGUCUAAAGAACUAAAGAAUAAGGAUUUAUUCUGUCAGAUAAGAUAACUUGGCUUCUGAAGCACAUAGAAAAACGGGAAACAUCUCAUUUUAACACAAAUUUCAUGAUUAGACAGAUUAGUACAUUGCUGAAUGCAUAAGAUGUCAUGAUCAGUCAUUUGUAUUCUUUCACCAAAGGAAUGCAGUCUUUAUCAGUGUAUGGUCGAGCAGGGUUUUACGACCGAGGUCUGGAGGUCAGUGUCCCCCCUUAUCCUGGGGUCCGUAUGUUCACACACUUUAAGACGCUAAAUCUCAAAUGGGAGAUCUGGGUUGAGACGUUAAUGUUUAUUUAGAUGGUCAGUAAUGGAGUCAGUUUGAAAGGUAAUAAAAACUCUGUCUCUGUUCGCCGAACUGACCAAUCCUGAAGAGUCAGAGGUUUAGUCAACCUCCGGUUGGGUCACUUAUUUAACCUGAAAGUGCAAACACGUCUGGAAAGAUUUAUAUCCUGUUUCCUGGGACCAGAUAAGGAAGCUUUCCUGUGAGGAAUGUGUGGGUUUCACACCCAGGGUUGUCUUGAUUGCUACAGUCCCCCCUUCGUCACGGUGGUCCUGUCCAUGGAGCAUCGGGACGACGAGUAGACAACCAUGAAGCAGCAGCAGCAGCAGCAGGUGUAUGCAAAUAGGACUGAUGCGUCUUGUCAUCACUAUGUGAAUCACUAGUACUGCUUUGAGAUAAAAUUAAGCAUGCAUUAAGCUAUCAAAUAAAAUAGUCUUGUUGUUAGACUUUUCUCAGUUAACUAUUGGUAGACUAAUGUGAAAGAAAAUCUCCUAAUUUUUAGUAUUAAUGAGAUUUAGAAAAGCACUCUUUAGUCUGAAUGCUAACUGGAUCUAAAGCUAUAGCUGUUUUUCAUGCUUGCUGGAGAAGUCUGAAAGUUCAAUUUCAGUUUCAAAAAUGGUUAAGACUUAGGUGGAAAAGAAAUGUCUGCUAUAGACAUAUUAACCAUCUGUGUAUGAGCAUAGUCAACCUGAAUCACAAACAUCAAAAGUUUACUGCACAGAGUUUCUCUUAAACUUUGUCUGUUAAACUUGGGGAUGAUGCUCUUAUCGGUUUGACUAAUUAUCUGCUGUUGAGUCUGAAAUUUGUCAAUCUGAGUCUUAGUGACAGAAAUUUCAGCUUUUAAUCUGUUCAUGGGAUAUUUGACAGCUGACAAGCUGACUAUAUUGACAGAGGAGAGACAAAUGCUAACAAAGAAAGCAGCAACUGGUAUUGCAGUCAUCAAUGUAUCACCACAGCAUUUGGAUAUCUUAUUGGAGUCAUUUAGCUUUGGCUAGGUGACUUCUGCUUUCGCAGGACUCACACCUUCAUGACUCCACAGUGUUAAUCUCAGUGGUUAGCUGAGUAGUCAUGUUUAUUCACCUUCAAAGUGGAUGAAACCGAUUGAGGUGGAUAAUAAGAUCGUCGUUUCUGAGAGUGUGAUUUACUCUGAUUCUGCCAGUCAUUCACCCCACUUUGGCGGUGUUGAUGGUUUUUCCUUUGUCUGGGAUAAAACCCACCGUGACGGGAGUCUGAAUAACAACAGUUGGUCUCAAAGUUUACCUGGCAUUGGUCUGGGUCAGACCUGGGCCUUGGUGUGUAACUUUGACCUUUGUGAGUUUGUUGAGGUCGAAAAGGUUUUGGAGGCCUGGUUAACCACUCAUUUGGAGGCUUAUCGGAGCUUGAAAAAAACACAGUCUGAAGCUUCGUUCAGCUCCAUGGGCAGUGAUUUUGUCUCCAUAGCCAAGAGAGUAACGGGCUCUGCUUUCUUAGCCAAAGUUUGUCGUUGUUUGGCAAAACCUUUUACAGCAAGUUCACGAAGCUGUCGGCUAGUCAAAGUGUUUGGACAAGCUAAGACGCCAAGAUGAUGACUGGUGGUAGGGUGGAGGUUCUGGACGAACAGCGUUUUGAAGUUCAAGUCCUCCUCCAUUUCUGGUUCAUUUCGGAAACCAAAGUAAGCUUCGCGUAAGCGGUUGUAAUAAUGUUGGGGAGGUUCUGAUCUCCCUUGUUUAAUAGACAGAGCAGCAGAAAGGCCUGUCUGGGUCAAAUGAUCAGAAAACUCUUCAAUUAAUGCUUGGCAGAGCAAGUCAUAAUUAUUUCUGACAUGAUAAGGCUGUCGUUCAAGGAAACUGCUAACCUCUCGACUUGACGUUGCCUUAAUAAGGUAGAUCUUGUCAUCAAUGGUUGCACCUGGAAAUUUCCUCAGGUAAAAGUCAAUGUCUUUCAAGUAGGUGCAGGUGUCAGUAGCACCUUGGUGCUCAGGUUCAAAGCGUGCUAUGUUGCGAGCAAUUUUGUCAAGAUCCCUAUCUGAGGGAGAUGGUAAGAAGCCAUCAUGAGGAGGAGAGUAGGACUCUUGGUUUAAGGAUGACCUCUCAGGGUCAAGCAGGGUCCUGUCAUGAUGCUGAGAGAGAUACUUAAGAGUUGGUUUGGAAGGAAGUGAUGGCGCUCUCUCAAGUGGCUGAUCACCUAUCAUUUCUUCAAGAAACGUUUGCUCCAUGCGUUCUCUUUGGGCUCGACCUGACUGGAGGGAGCAUUGUAACUCUCUUUGGGCAUCUUCAAGUUCUUUGUCUGUCUUUUCUUGCCGUUCUUGACAAAGAAUUAACUGUCUUUGAGCUAUCUGGAGCUGGUGCUGUAAGGUAGAAGUUUGUUUCUCCUUAACUUCAAGAGCUUCAGCACGCACUUUGACCAGUGCUUUCAAAGUUUUUACAUCUUCUGUUGCUUGCUCUAGUAGGGAUUCUGACUGUAUCAGAUCCUCUGUGGUCUUAGCAAGCUGCUUAUUCGUGUCAUCAAGUUCUUUCUCCUUUUUGUAAAGGGUUUCAUUAACUCUUUCAAUCUUGUCUUUGAGAUCAAGAUUUUCUUCAUGACUUAUCAGUGAGGGAAGCUUUGACGCUUCACAUCUGGCACUGUGUUUUUCUAAAACACUUAAAGACUCCUUAGUCUCCUCUAGCGUCUUUUUCAGAGCGCUGUUUUCAUCUUUUUGCGCCUUUAUCUUUGCUAAAGCGCAUUCCAGCAAGUAGUCUUUAUACUCAAGCUGAGAAGACAUCAUGACAGACAUGCAUCUAGUGAGCUCUUUGUCACGAAGUGUCGUGGUUAAGGCUGUUUCCAGUAAGUCAGCCAUUUCAUCCUCCGGAUUGGAGGGUUUGGCCUUUUGAAUCUUAGUCAUGUACUGAGGUAUCAGCUGACUAGUUAAGUUUGCUAACACUGUGUGUAUGUCCCUCAGGGGGUCUCCCUGGCUGGACUCUUUUGUGUUAGGCAUGUUUGGUUUUGGUAAAGAGGUGCAGGUGGUUGGUUGAUGAGUUUGAGUUGGCUUAAAAUGAAAAGAAGAAGCAAAAUAUCAAAUUAAGUGGGUUAAUCGACUUAAUUUAUCAGUGCUUGAUAAAGAGGAAGAGCCUAUCUGAGUAGAUCUCUAAUGGAGAGAAAAAUAACAUAAAGUUAAAUUCAUUUCAAUGAAAAUUGAAAAAAAGGUGAAAUGAUGUUAAAUUAAAUUUAACAUCAGAUACAGAACCAUUGAAUAAAGGGUUCAGUUUGUCUCCGUGUUGCAGAGAUCAGCAAAGCUUAAAUAAACUGCCUGGUGCAGUUGGAUGAAUUUGAAAAAUCAAUGAAAUUGUCAAUUUAAGGAAUUAACUCUAAAGUUAAUUCACAAAUUGCAAUAAAUCCAAAGGUUCAACUACCAAAUCUAUCUGGAAUGUUAAAAGAAAUUUCAAAUAUUAAUUAAUUUGUUCAUUAAUUAAUUAAUCUUAUGAGGAGGGUUAAUACAUUCAUGUAUUAUAGGGAACAGUAAAACUGCUCAAUGGUGUGAUAAGUAACAACAAGAUCAGGUGAUUGAUUCAAGGAGUUACUUUAUCAAUACAUUAUGGAGGCUCUUAUAACAAAGAUAAAAAUCAAAAAUCAAUGAUCAAUGAUUUAGAAUAAGCACAUCAAACUUCAUCAACCAAGUCAAUCACUUGAAUUAUGUCUGUAGAGUGUUACACACUGACUACAGAGAGGCAGUACAGCUGGCUGAUACUGCAGGCAGAUAAUAGCAGUGUUAGCUCAAUACCAAAAGCAACCAUGUGGGGCAGUAUGGAGUUGGGGUAACUGCACAAGCUCAACACAAGUGGAGAAGAAGAAGAGAAGAGGAAACAGUCAUCCAACUAGCCUCUUGUGGCUGUGAGGAGUUGGGAAGUGUGCAGGAAGGGGCCUUUAGGCUCUGCCUCCUUGAAGGGCCUUAUCUGCUUAAGGCCAAAUGGUCAGUCUCUCCACUGACAACAAAGGGUUAACAUUUCACAGCAGGCUGCGUCUGCACCCUCAAACAUAGAACUUUACACCAUCUGCUCAGGCAGAUUGGUUCAAUAAAAUCAUUUACAGGAACAAGAAUCAAAGUGACAAAUCCCUCAACAGCAGAUUCAACUGCAGACUUUAAAAUCACAAAUGCGGCGAUUUGUGAACACAAAUUUUGUCUGAAUUCACUCAAACAACAACCUCCCACUGUUACAGUGGUUUCCUGUGACAGGUAGCUAAUCUGUCAGGGGAAAGGAGGAAAUCUGAAUCCCAUAUAGUUACUAGAACCUCGUAGCAGACUACAGAGACUUCAGGGGCUUGAAACCGCAGCUCGGAGCAUCGCGAACACUGGGUUCAGCCAAAGGCCUUAAAUACAAGCGUACGGCGACGCAACAAUCGUGCACUUAAAUAUUGGACAGUCUAGACAGAGCAGAAGAGUCAGUCUCACUGCUACUCAGAACAACAUUUCACGCUGUCCAGCUCAAACACAGACUACAGGCAUGUAGUACAAAAGUGUGUGAAACACAGAGCAUAAAGGUUUUAUGCAUAGAUCAGGAAAACAUCAGAACUUAGUCAAGCAACUUCAGCAAGCAUAGCAUUGAUUGUGAUUAAGUCUAAAACAGCCUGAAAAUAAGUUUCUCUCAUCAAUUUGGAAGGCUAAGUUUUAGGUUGUCUGUUAGUAUCCAGAAGUUUUGUUUGAAACGCCUCACGCAGGGGCUCCAAAAUAUAUGUAGUGAUUUGAAAUGAGCCUCAUACGGUCGCACCAAAAUAUAUGUAGUGAUUUGAAAUGAGCCUCAUACGGUCGCACCAAAAUAUAUGUAGCGAUUUGAAAUGAGCCUCACAAGGCCGCACCAAAAUAAUACUUGGCGAUUGGAAUUUAUAAUAAAUGUCUGAAGAUUAAUAAUCUCAAAUUAUGACAUUUAUGCACUCGUUGAAAGGGGCACCACCCACCCUUAAUGGUGGGAAAAUAAAGAAAACAAAAGUUUAAUUCAGAAAUCAAACAUCAAGUCAGUUUUAAUUAAUCAGUCUUAAUUAAUCAGUCUCAUAUCUUAAGUCGAAAUUCUAAUUUCAGGGACUCCACUUCUGGAAGAACACUAACAGACAGGAACUUAGAAAAAUAAUGAUCUGUUUAUUACAGGAUAAAUGAUGGUACAACACACAUGCAAUAAAUGAUGAUAAGAUAAUGAAAAUAGAUAAUAAUAGGUGAAUAAAUAAAGAUUCUGAGUCAGGCUAGGAGCACUAAAGUUAAUGAUAGUGAGUGAAUAUGUGCUAACAUAUUAACCUACACUAACUUUGGUGUCGAGAUAAACUCGGGUGUAGAUUUGGAGGAAUCUAAGAUCACCAGAAAUAGGUGGAUAUCUGAGUUAUGAACGCGUGAGACAGCAUCAGCCCUGUCUGGAGCUCUGGAGGUUUGCAUACUUAAGUGAGACUGGUCCUUGGAGAAGAUGGAGCAGGUUCCGAAGGUCCGGGGCUACUGGCGGUUCGAGCGGUUCAGCUCAGAAGACGACUGAAGUCAGCCGAAGGAUGAGCCAGGAGUUGCAGCACUCGGGCCCGAAGCAAAGCCAGCGCCUGUGGAUCCUGUGGAUGCUCGUUUGGGUACUUCUUUGGUCUCACUUAAAAACUCUGGCACAGAGGAUGACCUGGGCCUGUUGGAUUGCGUUCGGAGGUGACUUUGAAAUCACGCAGAAAACUCAGAAAAACGAGGCUCGAAGAGCAGAGAAAACUUUCAAAAAUGGCUUUGCGAAAUUAAAGAAAAUCAAUCAAAGGCUUAAUCUUGAAUUGCUAUGCGCACAAAAAGUUGAAGUUUCAAAACUUGAACUAAGACGAUGUUAAAGAAAAAUCAACGUGAAUCAACACGUGGCGUAAAACUUAGAAGACUAAGAAAAAGUUCUAAGAGAAAACAAAGAAACGCACCACAGAAGGGUGUGGACAGAAGAGAAGGGGCAUAAGAGCCGGGGACAAGAGAGUCAGCAGAAGAGCAGAAGCAUAAGAGAGAUAAGAGAGUGAGCAACCCCACUCCACUGGUUUUAUCUUCUCACACUGGGAGUGUCUGAGGAGAAAGAGGAGGGGUCAUCGGGUCUCUGAUUAUUUGAUCUAACUUAUUCUUUUGGCUGGUAAAAGAGUCAGAUCUGAUACUCACUCACUAUGAUUAAUAUCAUUGAAUGCUUGGUUUCAUGAUAAAUAAUUUGAUACUAAACACAUAUGAAUGAAGUGUAGGAUCACAUCAAACAUUCUCAUUAUGUUUUAAGUAUCACAUUGAACAUGCUAAAUUACUCUGAAAUGAAACAGAUAGUAACACAUAGAAACUGUGAACAACAAAAGAGUAAACACAUGUGAAUGAACGUCAUCAUGAUUAAUAAUGGAUUCUAAAUA